rnacentral:rRNA from 1 species
UACGGAGGGUGCGAGCGUUGUCCGGAAUUACUGGGCGUAAAGGGCUCGUAGGCGGCCAACUAAGUCGGAUGUGAAAUCCCCAGGCUUAACCUGGGAAUUGCAUCCGAUACUGGAUGGCUUGAAUCCGGGAGAGGGAUGCGGAAUUCCAGGUGUAGCGGUGAAAUGCGUAGAUAUCUGGAGGAACACCGGUGGCGAAGGCGGCAUCCUGGACCGGCAUUGACGCUGAGGAG